AACUGGGUUUAUCUUAAAAUAUGGAAACAAAUUAUGUUCUUUUGGUGGAAUUUUUCUGCUGCUAGUUGUUGACGGUUGCUCUGGUAGUGUUUCGAAGGGAAAUGGUAAUGAAAAGACUGGUUUAGAUGGAAAUUUAGAUGGAAAAGAAGAUCCAGUUAUUGAAAGAGUGGUGCUGAUAAUGAUGCAAGAGCAAUGUGGACCAGAAACCCAGUUUGAAUGAAGGGAAGAAUUUGGUAAAGGAUGGGAAAGAAUCGGGUGGAGAAGUGAUAGGAAACACGAGUGGGAAAGAUAAUGGAGGAGAUCAAGUUGAUGGAUCAAAAAGGGGUGCUGAUAAUGAUGCAAGUAAGAGCGAUUUGGAUCAGCAAUCCGGUUCGAAUGAAGGCAAGAAUUUGGUAAAGGAU